rnacentral:rRNA from 1 species
GGUGAAAAACCUCCACGCCGAAAGACCAAGGGUUCCUGUCCAACGUUAAUCGGGGCAGGGUGAGUCGACCCCUAAGGCGAGGCCGAAAGGCGUAGUCGAUGGGAAACGGGUUAAUAUUCCCGUACUUUUGCUAACUGCGAUGGAGAGACGGAGAAGGCUAGGCCAGCGCGGCGUCGGUCGUCCGCGUUUAAGGUUGUAGGUAGUGUGCUUAGGCAAAUCCGGGCACAUAAUACUGAGGGCUGAUGACGAGUCACU